AAAAGAGACAGAAAAAUGAGCAAACAACAACAACAAGAGAAAGAGAGGAGGAGGCAAUACUCCCCAAGAAAGUGCAGUAAAGCAGGAAACCACCAGGGGGAGCAGAGUCCAAGCGCUGUACUCAUUUGGAGAAACAUGGGAAUUCAGCCCAAAGAACUUGAGUUGUGUUUCCUGGUGCAUUCUCCUUCAUUUCUGCACAUGGUGUAUCUCUGCUAGCAGAUUUGUGUGCUUCCUGUGCCUCCACUACAGCGUUGUGAGAUUCAUAUGAGAUGAUUUAUGUAAAGCUCUGGCAAACUUUAUUUGAAUAGUCACUCUUGUCAUUAUUUUAAAUUACUUGAGAGAUGAAGUUGUGUCAUUUUUUUUCCAUUUUUAUAUCCUCAGAGCCCUAGCUCAUAGAGUUUUGCCGCACAUAGUAGGCACUUAAUAAAUGUUUGUUAAAUUUGAAUGUUU